rnacentral:rRNA from 1 species
AUUGAACGCUGGCGGCAGGCCUAACACAUGCAAGUCGAGCGAGCGGCGGACGGGUGAGUAAUGCCUAGGAAACUGCCUGGUAGAGGGGGAUAACGUCUGGAAACGGGCGCUAAUACCGCAUACUAUCAGAUGAGCCUAGGUCGGAUUAGCUGGUUGGUGGGGUAACGGCCUACCAAGGCGACGAUCCGUAACUGGUCUGAGAGGAUGAUCAGCCACACUGGAAAUGAGACACGGUCCAGACGCCUACGGGAGGCAGCAGUGGGGAAUAUUGCACAAUGGGCGCAAGCCUGAUGCAGCCAUGCCGCGUGUGUGAAGAAGGCCUUCGGGUUGUAAAGCACUUUCAGCGGGGAGGCGUUACCCGCAGAAGAAGCACCGGCUAACUCCGUGCCAGCCGCCGCGGUAAUAC